rnacentral:rRNA from 1 species
AUUGAACGCUGGCGGAAUGCUUUACACAAGCAAGUCGAACGGCAGCACGGACUUCGGUCUGGUGGCGAGUGGCGAACGGGUGAGUAAUGUAUCGGAACGUGCCCAGUCGUGGGGGAUAACGUAGUGAAAAUUACGCUAAUACCGCAUACGAUCUAUGGAUGAAAGCGGGGGAUCGCAAGACCUCGCGCGAUUGGAGCGGCCGAUAUCAGAUUAGGUAGUUGGUGGGGUAAAGGCCCACCAAGCCAACGAUCUGUAGCUGGUCUGAGAGGACGAACAGCCACACUGGGACUGAGACACGGUCCAGACUCCUAAGGGAGGCAGCAGUGGGGAAUUUUGGACAAUGGGCGAAAGCCUGAUCCAGCCAUUCCGCGUGCAGGAUGAAGGCCCUCGGGUUGUAAACUGCUUUUGUACAGAACGAAAAGGUUUCUACUAAUACUAGGAGCUCAUGACGGUACUGUAAGAAUAAGCACCGGCUAACUACGUGCCAGCCGCCGCAGUAA